rnacentral:rRNA from 1 species
UGGGGAAUAUUGCACAAUGGGCGCAAGCCUGAUGCAGCGACGCCGCGUGAGGGAUGACGGCCUUCGGGUUGUAAACCUCUUUCAGUAGGGAAGAAGCGAAAGUGACGGUACCUGCAGAUGAAGGUUCGGCCAACUACGUGCCAGCAGCCGCGGUGACACGUAGGCACCAAGCGUUGUCCGGAUUUAUUGGGCGUAAAGAGCUCGUAGGCGGUUCGGUAAGUCGGGUGUGAAAACUUUGGGCUUAACCCAAAGCCUGCAUCCGAUACUGCUGUGACUAGAGUUCGGUAGGGGAGCGGGGAAUUCCUAGUGUAGCGGUGAAAUGCGCAGAUAUUAGGAGGAACACCGGUGGCGAAGGCGCCGCUCUGGGCCGAUACUGACGCUGAGGAGCGAAAGCGUGGGUAGCAAA